rnacentral:rRNA from 1 species
ACUCAAUAGAUACCCAGGUAGUCCUGGCAGUAAACGGUGCACGUUUGGUGUGGGCGCAAUCGACCGCGUCCGCGCCGGAGCUAACGCGUUAAACGUGCCGCCUGGGAAGUACGGUCGCAAGAUUAAAACUCAAAGAAAUUGACGGGGACCCGCACAAGCGGUGGAGUAUGUGGCUUAAAUUUGAUGCAACGCGAAGAACCUUACCUGGUCUUGACAUGCAUUGUGUCUACGGUGAAAGCCGUAUAGGGUAGCAAUACCCGCUUUGCACAGGUGCUGCAUGGCUGUCGUCAGCUCGUGUCGUGAGAUGUUGGGUUAAGUCCCGCAACGAGCGCAACCCUGUGAUUUGUUGCCACCCGGUUUACCGGAGCACUCGAAUCAGACUGCCUCGAUCAACGAGGAGGAAGGUGGGGAUGACGUCAAGUCCGUAUGGCCCUUACGACCAGGGCUGCACACGUACUACAAUGCCCAGUACAAUGUGAACCGAGACCGCGAGGUGGAGGAAAUCAAUAAAACUGGGCUCAGUUCAGAUUGGA